AAAAAUAAAUACGUUAUACCGUAGACAGCAGGUGCAGAUGAUGCUUAAUUUCCUGCCGAGGUGUUUUGAUUGAUGAUACCAGAUUCUUUAAAAGCGGGUUGUCAUUUGUCAUAAAGCCUCCAUGUCUCUAUUGGGGGCUUUAUUAAUAGAUAC
rfam:Lentibacillus amyloliquefaciens strain LAM0015, complete genome.